rnacentral:rRNA from 2 species
AGAGUUUGAUCCUGGCUCAGGAUGAACGCUGGCGGCGUGGAUAAGGCAUGCAAGUCGAGAGGGUUUAGACCCUCGGCAAACGGGUUAGUAAUGCAUAGGAACGUACCCCUAAGUCGUGAAUAAUCCGGAGAAAUCCGGAAUAAUACACGAUGUGCUCUACGGAGUAAAGAUUUAUCGCUUAGGGAGCGGCCUGUGUCCUAUCAGCUUGUUGGUGAGGUAAAAGCUCACCAAGGCUAUGACGGGUAGGGGGCGUGAGAGCGUGAUCCCCAACAUUGGAACUGAGACACUGUCCAAACACCUACGGGUGGCUGCAGUCGAGAAUAUUCCACAAUGGACGAAAGUCUGAUGGAGCGACGCCGCGUGCGGGAUGAAGGCCCUUGGGUCGUAAACCGCUUUUCUUAGGGAAAAAUGUAAUGAUGGUACCUAAGGAAUAAGGGGUUGCUAACUCUGUGCCAGCAGCAGCGGUAAUACAGAGACCCCGAGCGUUAUCCGGAUUUAUUGGGCGUAAAGCGCAUGUAGGCGGAUAUAUUAGUCAGAUGUCAAAUCUUCGAGCUCAACUCGAAAACUGCAUUUGAAACGGUAUAUCUUGAGGAAGUGAGAGAUCAAUGGAACAUAUGGUGUAGCAGUGAAAUGCGUUGAUAUCAUAUGGAACACCAAAGGCGAAGGCAUUUGAUUGGCACUUUUCUGACGCUGAGAUGCGAAAGCGUGGGUAGCGAAUGGGAUUAGAUACCCCAGUAGUCCACGCCGUAAACGAUGCAUACUAGGUAUUAGGAGAAUCGACCCUCUUAGUGUCGUAGCUAACGCGUUAAGUAUGCCGCCUGGGAAGUACGAGCGCAAGCUUAAAACUCAAAGGAAUAGACGGGGAUCCGCACAAGUGGUGGAGCAUGUGGUUUAAUUCGACAAUAAGCGAGGAACCUUACCAGGGCUUGAAACCUAGCUGCAUUGCCUAGAAAUAGGCAAGCCUUCGAGGGUGCUAGGCAGGUGUUGCACGGUCGUCGUCAGCUCGUGUCGUAAGAUGUUCUGUUAAGUCAGGAAACGAGCGCAACCCCUAUCGUGUGUUAUUAUGUCACACGAGACUGCCCAGAACCGAGUUCAUAAUUUUUUAUGGAUUGGGUUCUGGGAGGAAGGCGGGGAUGACGUCAGAUCAGCGUGGCCCUUUGACGCCCUGGGCUACACACGUGCUACAAUGGCCGGUACAAAGGGUUGCUAAAUCGUAAGAUGGAGCUAAUCCCAUAAAGCCGGUCUCAGUUCGGAUUGAGGUCUGCAACUCGACCUCAUGAAGCCGGAAUCACUAGUAAUCGUGAAUCAGCCACGUCACGGUGAAUACGUUCUCGGAUCUUGUACUCACCGCCCGUCACACCAAGAGAGUCGGUAACGCCCGAAGACCCCGGAUUAAACCGGGGGCCACGGCGGGAUCGAUAAUAAGGGUGAAGUCGUAACAAGGCAUCGGUAGCGGAAGCUGUCGAUG